UACGUAGGUGGCAAGCGUUGUCCGGAAUUAUUGGGCGUAAAGCGCACGUAGGCGGUCGGCUAUGUCGGAUGUGAAAGCCUCGGGCUUAACCCGAGAAGGGCAUCCGAAACUGGCGGGCUAGAGUACGAAAGAGGGUAGUGGAAUUCCCGGUGUAGUGGUGAAAUGCGUAGAUAUCAGGAAGAACACCCGUGGCGAAGGCGGCUCUCUGGGACGGUACUGACGCUGAGACGCGAAAGCGUGGGGAGCGAACAGG
rnacentral:rRNA from 1 species